ACGGGGUGCAGCAGGCGCGAAAACUUUACAAUGCUGGCAACAGCGAUAAGGGAACCUCGAGUGCCAGGUUACAAAUCUGGCUGUCGAGAUGCCUAAAAAGCAUUUCAUAGCAAGGGCCGGGCAAGACCGGUGCCAGCCGCCGCGGUAACACCGGCGGCUCGAGUGGUAACCGUUAUUAUUGGGUCUAAAGGGUCUGUAGCCGGCCGGAUAAGUCUCUUGAGAAAUCUGGCAGCUUAACUGUCAGGCUUUCAGGAGAUACUGUCUGGCUCGAGGCCGGGAGAGGUGAGAGGUACUUCAGGGG
rnacentral:rRNA from 1 species